UACGGAGGAUGCAAGCGUUAUCCGGAAUGAUUGGGCGUAAAGCGUCCGCAGGUGGCAAUGUAAGUCUGCUGUCAAAGCGUCUGGCUCAACCAGAUAAAGGCAGUGGAAACUACAUAGCUAGAGUAAGGUAGGGGUAGAGGGAAUUCCUGGUGUAGCGGUGAAAUGCGCAGAUAUCAGGAAGAACACCGGUGGCGAAAGCGUUCUACUGGACCUUAUCUGACAUUGAGGGACGAAAGCUAGGGGAGCGAAUGGG
rnacentral:rRNA from 1 species